GACGAACCGUGCAAACGUUGUUCGGAAUCACUGGGCUUAAAGGGCGCGUAGGCGGGCAAGCAAGUCGAAGGUGAAAUCCCACGGCUCAACCGUGGAAGUGCCCCCGAUACUGCUUGUCUUGAGGGAGAUAGGGGCGUGCGGAACUUCCGGUGGAGCGGUGAAAUGCGUAGAUAUCGGAAGGAACACCGGUGGCGAAAGCGGCGCGCUGGAUCUCUUCUGACGCUGAGGCGCG
rnacentral:rRNA from 1 species